AUGUCGGACUUGUACAUUAACACAUUGCAUGGCGAUGAGAGGAGAAAGAAAAGGAAGAGGGCAGCUGCUGGAUUUUUUGUGUCGGUUGUCGCGAUAGUUCAACACACGUAUUGUCAGAGGAAGAUUAGAGAGCUUGAUGAUUUCAGUGAGGAUGAGGCGGAGAUUAGGAUUAGAAAGCAGAUGCUUAGAUCAAUUUAUCAGGGUUCUAACAAGCACUGUUUUGAUAGUUUGCGCCUAACUAAACGGUCCUUUGUGGACCUGUGCGCUAUCUUGCGUGAAAGAUGUGGUUUGGGGGACACAUUUUAUGUGUCGGUUGAAGAAUCAGUCACAAUGUUUCUGCUAGUGCUAAGCCAUGGGAUGAAAUACCGGUUAAUUGAAAGCACGUACAGAUGGGCACUCGAGACCAUCAGUAGGCAUUUCAAUGAGAUCUUAAGAGCUGUCCUUUCCUUGUCUCAUGAGUUUAUAAAGCUACCAACCCCUUCAGCUGAGCAGCCCGAGGAUAGUAGAUGGAAAUGGUUUCCAGAUGGGCUAGGAGCUUUAGAUGGCACACAUGUUGAUGUCCGUGUUUCCGCUCUCAAGCAAGGCAGAUACAGAAAUAGAAAGCAAGAUGUGACCACUAAUGUGCUUGGUGUUUGUGACCGGAAUAUGAAGUUUUUGUAUGUCUUAGCUGGAUGGGAAGGUUCUGCAUCUGAUUCACGAGUGUUGCGAGAUGCAAUGUCACGACAAGACGCUUUUAGAGUUCCACAUGGAAAAUACUACCUUGUAGAUGCUGGGUACACUAAUGGUCCGGGCUUCUUUGCUCCAUACCGGUCAGUCCGGUACCAUUUGAAAGAAUGGGCGGCUAAUGGAAAUAACCCACAAACUCCAAGAGAGUUAUAUAAUCUGCGACAUGCAUCAGCUAGGAAUGUGAUAGAGAGAACUUUUGGUCUACUAAAGAUGAGAUGGGCUAUUUUGAGGACUAGUUCAUUUUUUCGCAUACGGAAUCAGAUCCGUGUCAUUAAUGCUUGCUGCAUAUUGCAUAACUUUCUAAGAGAUAGGCAGAGAGAGAUGGAUGAUAUAAUGCUAAUUGACGUGGAUAAUCAGUUAAAUGCUGCUGCCAUCGAACAUCCUGAAGAACCAAACAUGAUUAGACAUGUUGAAUCAACAACUGAGUGGAACAACAAGCGAGAUACCUUAGCUAAUCAAAUGUGGGCAGAUUACCAAAGGAGACGCGGGGGAGCCAAUCAUUGA
rnacentral:rRNA from 1 species